GGUUAAGUAGCUUAUAUUAGAGCAUUGCAGUGAAGUUGCAGGUGAGCAAAAUUUGUCGUAACCA
rnacentral:tRNA from 1 species